CACGAAAAAGCUAGCACCUAAAUUAUAUUUAAAAAAAAAUUUUUUUAUUAAUAAACAAAAACAUUUAUAAUCCUAGUAUAGGAGAUAGAAAAGACAGUAAGACGCAAUAAAUAAAGUACCGCAAGGGACUGCUGAAAAAGAAAUGAAAUAAUUCAUAAAAGUAAUACAUAGCAAGAAUAAAAACCUGUACCUUUGGCAUCAUGGUUUAACAAGUUAAAUAAGACAACAUGAUACUUUUAGUCUUUCCCCCCGAAACCAGACGAGCUAUUUAAGACCAGUUUACUGAACAUAUCCGUCUCUGUGGCAAAAGAGUGGAGAGAGUUUUAAAUAGAGGUGAUAUGCCUAACGAGCCUGGUGAUAGCUGGUUAUUCACGAAAUGAGUUUAAGCUCAAUAUUAAGUCUUAUUAAAAUUUUAUUCUCUUAAAAUAAAAACUUAAUAUCUAUUCAACAGAGGAACAGCUCUCUUGAAAAAGGACACAACCUAAAAUAAUGGGUAAUGAUUUUAAUAUAUCAAGGUAGAUAUAUUAGUAGGCCUAAUAGCAGCCACCUAAUGAUAUCGUCACAGAUCAUAUACAAAAGACACCUUAAAUAUCAACAAUAAAUCAAAACCCCUCCCCACCAGUGAAUUAUAUUAUAAAUUAUAAUAAAAUUAAUGUUAAAACUAGUAAUAAGAAAAUAAAAUUUUCUCAUGUGCACCAAUGUAAGUCAGACUGGACUAACCACUGACAAUUAUAAAUAAAUACAAAUUUAUAAACUAGAUGAGGUAUUAAAUUUUUUAACGUUAAACCAACACUGGAAUGCACUAAGAAAGACUAAAAAAUAAAGAAGGAACUCAGCAAAUAAGAUUCCCGCCUGUUUACCAAAAACAUCACCUCUAGUAUACACAUUAGAGGCCCUGCCUGCCCAGUGAAAAUUUUUAACGGCCGCGGUAUUCUGACCGUGCAAAGGUAGCAUAAUCACUUGUCUUUUAAAUAAAGACUAGAAUGAAUGGCAAGACGAGGUAUCCACUGUCUCCUUUAUUUAGUCAAAGAAACUGAUCUCCCUGUGAAAAAGCAGAGAUAAAUUUACAAGACGAGAAGACCCUAUGAAGCUUAAAUACACAACUAGUUAAGAACUUAUUUAAUAUAAGCUUUUAAUACUACUAAUUAUUAAAUUUGGUUGGGGUGACCACGGAGAAAGAAAAACCUCCGAGAAAUAAAAUUAAGAUAACCUUUCAAAAUUAAAUAAAAACACUUGACCCAAUUGUAUUGAUCAACGAAACAAGUUACUCUAGGGAUAACAGCGCAAUAUUCUCCAAGAGCCCCUAUCGACGAGAAAGUUUACGACCUCGAUGUUGGAUCAGGAUACCCAGACAAUGCAGCCGUUGUCACAGGUUUGUUUGUUCAACAAUUAAAAUCCUACGUGAUCUGAGUUCAGACCGGAGUAAUCCAGGUCAGUUUCUAUCUGUAAUUAAUUUUUUUCAGUACGAAAGGACCAAGAAAAUUACGCCUCUGCUUAAAAGCAUGCCUAAAAAAAUAAAAUGAAAUAAUUUAAAUUUUUCUUAAAAAUAAAGAAAGCCCAAGAUAAGGGCUAA
rnacentral:rRNA from 1 species